GUGGGGAAUGAAGACAUGGAACGAGGUGGCGAGACCAUCGCAGAAUAACAACUUGGAAGAUGCCGCUGUUGAAUCGAUCAGGCAUAUUAUUAAAAGUAGCAGGUGUGCCCGCUGCUACGGAUUAACAAAAUCACAAGCUAUUUAUUUUUAUUUUUUGUGUAGGCAACUCAUGGCGUCGUUGAGGUCGGCAUGCGGUGUGGUGACGUCGGUUGUAAGACGGAGUAGGAGAAAUCGUGAAAAAAAAAAUUGGACUAAAAAAAAUAACGAGCAGUGGCAUAUUGAUUGUAAUUUUAACGAAAUUAACCUACAGCGGCGACCGUACCAUCACCACCAACUCCAAUUUAAUAUAUUGGUAUAGACUCGAGUCGUCCAACACUACAACCAACCUUAAUGUGUACUGUAGACGAGAGGCCUAAAAAAAUCGGCUCAUCGACCUUAAAAAACAGUAUACUUUAAAGAAAUACUGGUCGUUUGGCAGGCCUCUAUUUCAUUUCAUUUUUUUCAUUAAAAACGUAU
rnacentral:lncRNA from 1 species